rnacentral:rRNA from 1 species
GAUCUGGCUCAGGACGAACGCUGGCGGCACGCUUAACACAUGCAAGUCGAACGAGAGAAGAGAAGCUUGCUUUUCUGAUCUAGUGGCGGACGGGUGAGUAACACGUGAGCAAUCUGCCUUUCAGAGGGGGAUACCGAUUGGAAACGAUCGUUAAUACCGCAUAAUAUAAUUGAACCGCAUGAUUUGAUUAUCAAAGAUUUAUCGCUGAAAGAUGAG